rnacentral:rRNA from 1 species
GACGAACGCUGGCGGCGUGCUUAACACAUGCAAGUCGAACGGAAAGGCCCUGCUUGCAGGGUACUCGAGUGGCGAACGGGUGAGUAACACGUGGGUGAUCUGCCCUGCACUUCGGGAUAAGCCUGGGAAACUGGGUCGAAUACCGGAUAGGAGCCAUUUUGAGUGUGAGGGUUGGAAAGUUUUUUCGGUGUAGGAUGAGCUCGCGGCCUAUCAGCUUGUUGGUGGGGUAAUGGCCUACCAAGGCGGCGGCGGGUAGCCGGCCUGAGAGGGUGGACGGCCACAUUGGGACUGAGAGACGGCCCCGACUCCGACGGGGGGCAGCAGUGGGGAAUAUUGCCCGAUGGGCGCCAGCCUGAUGCAGCGACGCCGCGUGGGGGAUGACGGCCUUCGGGUUGUAAACUCCUUUCGCUAGGGACGAAGCUUUUUGUGACGGUACCUAGAUAAGAAGCACCGGCUAACUACGUG